rnacentral:lncRNA from 1 species
GUCCCCAUCGAGGCGCGCCUGCAAGUAAUAAGCUUUCCCAGAGCCACUCUGCAGAAGUGACGAGGACUGACAUUUUGUGAGGCCUAUAUGAAUAUGCCAUAAAAAGGUUGUAUUUAUUCUCUUGUUGUUCCCGGGCAAUAGUAUCUGAGUAGAGCCGGUUCAGAUCAUCGGAUAUGAACAUUAUUGUAGCCGGAGGAGGAUUAUGUGUUUUCCAGGUGGCCAUAGCUGAAAGCAUGCGCGAGUAUAUGACUUCUGUUUCAGUAAAAGGAAAGCAGCGUUUCAGUAAAAGGAAAGCAGCGUUUCAGUAAAAGGAAAGUUGAAAUUCCAGACAAGUAAAUGGACUAACCGGGAAUGGCAUGUGCAAGAGCGACUCCAGUGGAAGAGAGCCCUCGCAAGAGGUGAUCAGGGGCUUGAUUGAGGUCGCCGAAAGCAGUGAUGGAGACAGGACCAGAGUAGCCUAGUUCCUUGAACGCCGCUUCUAAACUCGGACGGACCCGACGAGCAUCAUAACCCUCGGGAAUGGGACAGUCUAUCAUGUCCCACCACACGGCUAUUUGAGCCGUGGCGUAUUCGGGCUUGGCCGCGUAGUUCUUUCCCCACUUGCUCGUUUGAGAGUCAAGUUCUUCAUACAAAGGGUUUAAAACCUCCUUCACUGCAUGCAUUUUACUCGAGAUAUGCUUCCUGAAACCCGCCGGGCUUUGGCCAUGGAAGCAGCACGGUUUGCAGUAAAACUUGGCAGCGGAUAAUUGACCGCUAGUGCACUCAAGUGCGCUGCUUUUGAAGGAAAACUUGACAGAUAAUUGACUGCUAAGUGCGCUGCGUUUUGGGGACUCAAGACUUUUGGGGGACUCAAGAAGUAAGCUUUCCCAGGCCCACCUUGCAGAAGUGUGCAGUACCGAAGAACGUGAAGGCAUAGAUGGAGAAGCCAGAAAAAGGUUGUAUUGCGUGUGUUGUUGUAGACGGGCCAGAUCCCAAGCGAAGACAUCCUCCACCUGAUCGGAUAUGAGCAUCAUUGUAGCCGGAGGAGGAUUAUGAGCUCG